UACGGGGGGGGCAAGCGUUGUUCGGAAUUACUGGGCGUAAAGGGCUCGUAGGUGGCCAACUAAGUCAGACGUGAAAUCCCUCGGCUUAACCGGGGAACUGCGUCUGAUACUGGAUGGCUUGAGUUCGGGAGAGGGAUGCGGAAUUCCAGGUGUAGCGGUGAAAUGCGUAGAUAUCUGGAGGAACACCGGUGGCGAAGGCGGCAUUCUGGACCGAAACUGACGCUGAGGCGCGAAAGCCAGGGGAGCAAACGGG
rnacentral:rRNA from 1 species